UAUAAGACCAUGAAGAGAAGAGUAAAUAUAGAAUCUAUUCAAAGCGAAUUGGUAAUGGUGGAAGUCCAAUAUAGAUCUAUAUCGAAGAACAUCUCGGAGUUUCUAACCGAAAUCUUUCGUGAAAGUAGGCUUAGAGGUAAUCAGUACCUUAAAGUGAAAGAUAAUAAAAUAUAUGUUGUUAUCUUAAAGUUGGUCAUAUUUUAUGGCAAAUUGGGUGGUACCGCGAGUAAAGUCUUUCGUCCCUUUA
rnacentral:ncRNA from 1 species